AAAGAUUCAGCAUGCCUUGGUGCAAGAGUGGCCUUCCCAGUUUCGAUCUCAAACACACAUCUCCCUUCUUAGUUUCUCUCUUCUCUUUGUUGGUUUCAACAACAGCUUCACCGGUGCUAACAAUGGUAGCCGGUCGUCAAAACAUGUUAUCUUGAGAGUAAUCAAACCCAACGAUUUUACACUGAUGUCUCAAACACGCAUUCAGAAUACCAGACUUUGAUUUCUCUCUCUUUCAAUCCCUAAUUUAUUUAAGUUCAAUUCCCAGAUCGGAUAUGCGAUUAAAAAAAUCAGAAAAGGAAAAAUCAAAUUGGGUAUUUGCCUGAAUCGUGGUUUAUAGAGCAUAAGUCAAAUUCUUUGGAAUCUUUGAUAAGUUUCGAUACUCUAUGUUUUGUUUUGCUGCUGAAGUUGCAGUAGAAGAGUGUUAGGGUGUAUAAAUGUACUUAGUUUUGAAAAUAGGACAACAACAAGGCAGUAGUAUUGGCAGCAAUAGCUGUAAUAGUGGGUUGUUUUCUAGCUAAGACUCUCAUGGAAUAUCUCUGAAGAAAAGCCUUGAUGUUACCCCUUUGAAAUCUCAAGCGAUGCAUUUUCGUCCCCUGUGCUAUCAUCAGUUAGAUGUCAGAGACGUUUGGGUUCCAUAAGCUUGUCAAAAACUUGAAUGAUUUGUUUAAUCUCUGUGGCUGCAUAAUAAUUUUGGGAUAUACUCAUUUUGGACUUAGAAAUAACCACAAAUAGAUGAUGCGGGAAAUGAAGUUAUGAGUUUAAUAGCCAAGCUCUUUGAGCAAGAAAAUAUUAUCGUUGCUUGAAGAACAAGAUGCAGACAUUAGAAUUCAAGCUGUGACAAUUGUUGCAAAUUUGGCUGCAAAAGAAACAAAUCAGGGGAAGAUUGUAGAGGCAGGUGGCCGGGAUUACUUCCUUGUGUUGAAUCAUCUUAGAAUCUCUGAGAAUGAGACCAUACAUCGAGUUGCUGUUGGCGUUAUUGCGAAAUAAGCAAUGAAUGGUUGCUGCACAUUAUGUUGCAAUGGCUCCUUCCGGACAGAUUUUUGAUAGGAUCAAGAUGAUGGAUUGGAUCGGAUCGGAUCGGAUAGCGAAUGAAGAUUAAAGUUGACAUCGAGAAUCAUGGAUUGGAUCGGAUAGCAAAUGAAGUUGAAAAGAUAGAAGACAUUUUGUUUUGGAUUAUACAUUUUAGUUUUGGAUAUGAUCAUCUGAUUUUUUUUUGAACAUAUAUAAUAAUGUAAUUUUCAUAGAUUGUACAUCAAAUACUAUUAUUUUAAUUUAUUAGGGAGCGGGUUGUGCUCCCUCCCUUUAGUUGUU